rnacentral:misc_RNA from 1 species
UGCUGUUCAAACGUUCGCGAUUUGGCGAGUGGAUUUGUUUUGACAUUUUUUUGUAGCAACCUCUCCCAGUUGUAAUCUAUGCCAGUGAUUGGCUUCAGUCACGAGUUUUACAGGCAACAGUUAGGAAGAUAAAACAUCAGUUUUUUAACCGUUAACAGAAUAGGUGUGUCUGGUCGGAUUCUGCAGCGCAUGAUUUGGACUUUAAUCGGUUUAACAAAAGGAUCGGAAAUAAAUAUCACAUCAAUCGAAGAAAUAUUUCUCUUGAUAUCGAGGAUAGAAACCGUUAACACGCGUCAUUAUUACCUUGUAAGAUAAUAUUAAAAAAUGUCGGGAUAUCCACCACCUCCUAGUUAUGGUGCUUAUGACCAGGCGCCUCCACCUGGUUUCGGUUACCCUGCACAACCUGGAUAUCCCUCUCAGCCCGCGUACCCUUCACAGCCUGGAUACCCCUCACAGCCUGGAUACCCCGCACAGCCUGGAUACCCCGCACAACCAGCAUACCCCUCUCAGCCUGUUACUCAACCACCCGGAGGUUAUUAUCCAGGACAGCCGCCUACACAAACAAUAAUAGUUCAAGAGAAGAAAGAUGACGAUUGCCUUAGAGACUGUGCCAUAUGCGCAUUAUGCACAGCGUUAUGUUGCUUCUGUUGUUCUGACUGAUUCCUGAGAUACAGAAAAUGGUUCAUAGUAGAUAUUUGUAGGCAUGUUAUUUGUGCAGUCACUUUCACAGAGCGCUCACAUUUUUGUAAAUACUAUAAUUCAAGUAAUUUUCCCCGCUGGGUGGGGUGUUUUCUGUCUUACCUUUAAUUCUCUUAUUCAGAUUAAAUUGUACAUUAUAAAUUGCAUAUAAAUAAUUAAUUGCAGUACUGUAUUUCUAAGUUUACUGCAGCAAAGGCAUAUAUUAAAUAGUUGCGCUUAGUUAUUCCGUUUAAUUAGAAUUAUUUAUGUUACUUAUAUUUAAAAAAGAGAAUCGUAGAUUUCGGUAGAAGUCUGAUUGUGUAAGUGUCUGCACAUGAAGCUAUUCGAUUAUCAGUAGAGUUUUCUGCAUUAUACACUAAGCAGAACAUAUGUUUUUAAAUAUUUCUUAUAAAAUCAUAGUUUGAAGUAUAAUAUUUGUAUGACAUUGCUGUGUGGAAUUUUUUAAAUUUUGAAUAACUAAUAAUAUGUGAUGUUUUAUGUAAUGUGGAGUAUUGCUAUGUUUUUAUUCUUAGAUUGUAUUAAUAGCAUGUUAAAGUUACGUUAAGUUUGUGCGAAUGGCAUGCUGUGAAGAUGUGAAUAACGAGUUAAAAUUACAUUAUGAAAACAUAUCUUUAAUUCUUUAUGAAUUAUUAGUUUAUUAUUUUCAUAGAUUUAUUUGAUUCAAAAAGCAUAAAUGUUUCAUCUUACAGGUAUCUGCGGUUAGAAUGUUUUGAUGUAUCUAAUGCGAUGUGUAUUAAUAUUUUUGAAUAUUUCGGAAGGAAAUAAUUGGGCGGAGAUUUUUAUAUUAUGUGUAAUAAUGUUCUAGUUUUGAAUCGAAUCAAGAAAUGAUUAAUUUUUUCAAAAAAGAAUAACAUUUUGUUCCAAACAGAAUUAAAAAUUUAAAUUUAGAGUUCUGUGUUGAAUGAUUAAGCAUAAUAUAACACUUCUUCAUUCCAAAAUUUCUUAGUUUUUUUAUAAUAUAUAUAUAUAUGAUUAAAAUUUUAAUAUUUUUUCAACUUUUUGAUCAAUUGAAUGAAUUAAGAUUUUACAUUAGUUGCAAUAUUAUUGUACUUAUAUUUGGAAUUUAAGAAAUUGGCAAACAUCUUCCAGAUAGAUUUUAGGUUUUUAUGUUUAAUAUACAGUUUUGUUAUAAAAAUGUUUUUAUGUAAAUUCAGGAUUCUUUGGUAAAAGCAAAAAGCAUAAAUGUUCUUUUACAUUUCAUUUUACUCUUAUUUUUUCUACAGGAAUGAGCGUAUUUCUUGCUUUCCGUAGGCAGUAUUUAUUCCACAGUUUUAUGUAUUAAAAAAAAAGCACAGUGCCUAAUAUUUAUAUUCUAGAUAAUUGUGACAAUUGUAUAAAAUAUUAUCCUACCGAAUAUUUUAUGACUGAGAUUGUUUGUCAUUAGUAUGUAUUUAAUAAUUAGUUUAUUCCUUGUUAGUCAUUUAACAGACAUGUAGUGAUGUUUCAAAAGAAUUUUUCAGUACAUAUUGUAAUUGCUUUUAUAUUAAAGAUAAAUUUUCUAUUUUUGUAAAUUAAGGAAAAGGUUUUGUAAAUAUGUUAGAAGAAUGCUUUUUUUCCCUUUUCGGUGUAAUACUAAUUAUAUGAAUUUAUACAUUCUUCUGUUAAAUAAAUACCACUUUAUUUUUUAUCCUGUCUCUAAAUUAUUGGCAUUUUAAAAAUCGAUCUGCUGAUGUUGAUUUCGAGUAUUACUGUUAAAUAUAAGAUUUUAUUUUUUCAUUAAAAAAGAGUUUUUAUUUUGUUUGAAUACAAAUUUAAAUAAAAGUCAUGGAUUUUUUAAUA